ACGAACGCUGGCGGCGUGCCUAAUACAUGCAAGUAGAACGCACAGUUUAUACCGUAGCUUGCUACACCAUAAACUGUGAGUUGCGAACGGGUGAGUAACGCGUGGGUAACCUGCCUGGUAGCGGGGGAUAACUAUUGGAAACGAUAGCUAAUACCGCAUAAUAUUGAUUAUUGCAUGAUAAUUGAUUGAAAGAUGCUAUUGCAUCACUACCAGAUGGACCUGCGUUGUAUUAGCUAGUAGGUGAGGUAACGGCUCACCUAGGCGACGAUACAUAGCCGACCUGAGAGGGUGAUCGGCCACACUGGGACUGAGACACGGCCCAGACUCCUACGGGAGGCAGCAGUAGGGAAUCUUCGGCAAUGGACGAAAGUCUGACCGAGCAACGCCGCGUGAGUGAAGAAGGUUUUCGGAUCGUAAAGCUCUGUUGUAAGAGAAGAACGGGUGUGAGAGUGGAAAGUUCACACUGUGACGGUAUCUUACCAGAAAGGGACGGCUAACUACGUG
rnacentral:rRNA from 1 species